GUGGCGUUAGCUCAGUUGGUAGAGUAUCGGAUUGUGAUUCCGAGGGUCACGGGUUCAAGCCCCGUACGUCACCCCA
rnacentral:tRNA from 1 species